rnacentral:lncRNA from 1 species
GUAAGUAUUAUUUUCAUAGAUAUCAUCGAUUGCCACUCGGACCUCGUCGAUUUUCCGAUAUGACGAAAAUAAGCCGCACCCUAACGAUAUACCUUUUUAAAUCACAUUAAAGUCGAAUAACUCAAGCUGGACCUGAAACCAAUCAAAGGCUUACAGAAAUCCUUUAAAACUCCACGAAAAGCCCGAAAUAUUUCAGAGUGUAGAUUGACGUUUUUGUGUUUUGCAAUUCUUGCCUGGAGCUGCGUCACAUAAAAAAAAAGGCUAUCUACAUGAUAACUUUUAGAAUAACCCUCUUACCACCCCGCGCCAAGUUAUGACCUCUAUUACUUACUGGUUCUCAUUUUUUCUUCUUUUUCGUUGACAUCUAAAUACGAAUAGACUAGUUUUGUAUGAAUGCAUCUCAACGGUGACACUACCAGACCACGUAUUUCGUUUGCGGUGUUCAAAAAUUCCCACUUCUAAUUUAUUUUUUUUUAAGGAGAACAAAUCAUUAUAAUUUUUUGAAAUUUUCAAAAAGUUUGCUUUGCACAGAGAAGAAUAAUCAGGGUAGUUUUCGCGAGUUAACUUCGGGCAGUUUUUCAUUUAAAAAUUAAAGUAAGACAGGAAGCCUACAGCAUCGCCAACUGAGAUACGUCCUCUGGUACUUUCACCCUCGAUUUGCUUAUUUCCGAGAAAAGAGAAAGGGAACAAACGCAGCUUGAGAAGUUCUAUAAACCUGGAUUUAAUUUUAAAUUUUUUUAUAGAAUCAUAACACAGAAACAAGAAUAAAAAAUAUAGGUAAAUAUCAAGUAGAGCUUACAUGUAUCGUUAAAUGAAAGAAUCACAUUUACAAUUUAUUUCAUCAGGUUUAAAAAUCCUAGCAAUCCCUGAGAGUCAACAAGAACUGGACGUAUUUCUGAAAGUGGUCCCAUCGAAAGUGAUUUGGUGAAGAGCAACAAUUCCGAGUAGUUAUGACUCCUCAAUGACAGAGGAAUAAUAGAUAGAACUAGCCGAAAAAUUAAGAAAUUAGCGAUGUCAGGUGAUAGCAGGCGGCAGAGGAGUGCUCUGUACUAACAAAUUGCUUUCUUUUCUUGUCUCAAAUUUAUAUGAUACA